rnacentral:rRNA from 1 species
UACGAAGGGGCUAGCGUUGUUCGGAAUUACUGGCGUAAAGGCGCGCGCAGGCGGUCUUCCAAGUCAGUGGUGAAAGCCCGGAGCUCAACUCCGGAACUGCCAUUGAACUGUUAGACUUGAGGAUGAGAGAGGUGAGUGGAAUUCCAGUGUAGAGGUGAAAUUCGUAGAUAUUGGGAAGAACACCGGUGGCGAAGGCGGCUCACUGGCUCAUUACUGACGCUCAGGCGCGAUAGCGUGGGGGGAUCAAACAGG